rnacentral:rRNA from 1 species
GACGAACGCUGGCGGCGUGCUUAACACAUGCAAGUCGAACGGACCUUCGGGUUAGUGGCGAACGGGUGAGUAACACGUGGGUGAUCUGCCCUGCACUUUGGGAUAAGCCUGGGAAACUGGGUCUAAUACCGAAUAGGACCACGGCAUUCAUGUGCUGUGGUGGAAAGCUUUUGCGGUGUGGGAUGGGCCCGCGGCCUAUCAGCUUGUUGGUGGGGUAAUGGCCUACCAAGGCGACGACGGGUAGCCGGCCUGAGAGGGUGACCGGCCACACUGGGACUGAGAUACGGCCCAGGCUCCUACGGGAGGCAGCAGUGGGGAAUAUUGCACAAUGGGCGCAAGCCUGAUGCAGCGACGCCGCGUGAGGGAUGACGGCCUUCGGGUUGUAAACCCCUUUCGCCAGGGACGAAGCGCAAGUGACGGUACCUGGAGAAGAAGGACCGGCCAACUACGUGCCAGCAGCCGCCGUAA